CAGUAGCCGCGGUAAUACGUAGGUGGCAAGCGUUGUCCGGAAUUAUUGGGCGUAAAGGGCUCGCAGGCGGUUUCUUAAGUCUGAUGUGAAAGCCCCCGGCUCAACCGGGGAGGGUCAUUGGAAACUGGGAAACUUGAGUGCAGAAGAGGAGAGUGGAAUUCCACGUGUAGCGGUGAAAUGCGUAGAGAUGUGGAGGAACACCAGUGGCGAAGGCGACUCUCUGGUCCGUAACUGACGCUGAGGAGCGAAAGCGUGGGGAGCGAACAGGAUUAGAUACCCCUGUAGUCCCUGUCUCUUAUAC
rnacentral:rRNA from 1 species